rnacentral:rRNA from 1 species
UACGUAGGGUGCAAGCGUUGUCCGGAAUUAUUGGGCGUAAAGAGCUCGUAGGCGGCUUGUCGCGUCGGCUGUGGAAAACCUGGGGCUCAACCCCGGGCCUGCAGCCGAUACGGGCAAGCUAGAAUUCGGUAGGGGAGACUGGAAUUCCUGGUGUAGCGGUGAAAUGCGCAGAUAUCAGGAAGAACACCCGUGGCGAAGGCGGCUCUCUGGAACGCAACUGACGCUGAGACGCGAAAAGCGUGGGGAGCAAACAGG